rnacentral:snRNA from 1 species
AGCCUCACAAAAAAAAGAACGCAAAAAUUUAGCUGUUAGCUAACGUCAACUCGAGGCUGCCAUACAGGUCAGCCUGUGCGAAAGUGCAAUGUACGGGCCUCACCAUGGAGGUCCCGCCUUCAUGAUCGCGAGAGCCUCCAAGCCAGGUAAGUUU